UACGUAGGGGGCUAGCGUUGUCCGGAUUCAUUGGGCGUAAAGCGCACGCAGGCGGCUUGGUAAGUCAUCGGUGAAAUCCCCCGGCUCAACCGGGGGGGGUCCGGCGAAACUGCCAGGCUUGAGGUCGGGAGGGGGAAGCGGAAUUCCGGGUGUAGUGGUGGAAUGCGUAGAUAUCCGGAGGAACACCAGUGGCGAAGGCGGCUUCCUGGCCCGAAUCUGACGCUGAGGUGCGAAAGCGUGGGGAGCGAACAGG
rnacentral:rRNA from 1 species